AUUUAGCCCCGAUAGCAGCGGCAUCUCCCGAUUUUUCAUCGGGAAUAUAGCGGAUAGCGGGAUUAGCU
rnacentral:sRNA from 1 species